UGGCUCAGGACGAACGCUGGCGGCGUGCCUAAUACAUGCAAGUAGAACGCUGAGGACUGGUGCUUGCACCGGUCCAAGGAGUUGCGAACGGGUGAGUAACGCGUAGGUAACCUACCUCAUAGCGGGGGAUAACUAUUGGAAACGAUAGCUAAUACCGCAUAAAAGUGUUUAACCCAUGUUAAACAUUUAAAAGGUGCAACUGCAUCACUAUGAGAUGGACCUGCGUUGUAUUAGCUAGUUGGUGAGGUAACGGCUCACCAAGGCGACGAUACAUAGCCGACCUGAGAGGGUGAUCGGCCACACUGGGACUGAGACACGGCCCAGACUCCUACGGGAGGCAGCAGUAGGGAAUCUUCGGCAAUGGACGGAAGUCUGACCGAGCAACGCCGCGUGAGUGAAGAAGGUUUUCGGAUCGUAAAGCUCUGUUGUUAGAGAAGAAUGAUGGUGGGAGUGGAAAAUCCACCAUGUGACGGUAACUAACCAGAAAGGGACGGCUAACUACGUGCCAGCA
rnacentral:rRNA from 1 species